rnacentral:rRNA from 1 species
AUGAACGCUGGCGGCGUGCCUAAUACAUGCAAGUCGAGCGAACGGACGAGAAGCUUGCUUCUCUGAUGUUAGCGGCGGACGGGUGAGUAACACGUGGAUAACCUACCUAUAAGACUGGGAUAACUUCGGGAAACCGUAGCUAAUACCGGAUAAUAUUUUGAACCGCAUGGUUCAAAAGUGAAAGACGGUCUUGCUGUCACUUAUAGAUGGAUCCGCGCUGCAUUAGCUAGUUGGUAAGGUAACGGCUUACCAAGGCAACGAUGCAUAGCCGACCUGAGAGGGUGAUCGGCCACACUGGAACUGAGACACGGUCCAGACUCCUACGGGAGGCAGCAGUAGGGAAUCUUCCGCAAUGGGCGAAAGCCUGACGGAGCAACGCCGCGUGAGUGAUGAAGGUCUUCGGAUCGUAAAACUCUGUUAUUAGGGAAGAACAUAUGUGUAAGUAACUGUGCACAUCUUGACGGUACCUGAUCAGAAAGCCACGGCUAACUACGUG